AUAAUAAUGAGAAUGGCAGACAGCUUAAAAUGCUAGACCUAGAAUUUAUGAAUAGACAGGUAUAGAGAUUCUGCUGAGUGGCCAGACUAGAUCCAGCUGAAUAAAGUUGUAGUAAAUGAAAGUAGAUAGUUAGCUGAGCACAUCACAUUCCUAAAGCUUUUCUAAAAGAACAGUUAAAAGGGAUGCAUUGGAAAGGGAAGCUUCAAACUGCAAGACUGGGGCUCUGACUGUGGACUAAUC